GGGGUUGUGGCUCAGUGGUAGAGCACUUGCCUCACAUGCAUGGAGCGCUGGGUUUGAUCCUCAGCACCACA
rnacentral:tRNA from 1 species